UCUUCAUUUCUCGUACUCUCUCACCGGUCAGAGAGUCUGAGAUAGUGUGUGAAAUGAAGAGA
rnacentral:pre_miRNA from 1 species